GAUGAACGCUGGCGGCGUGCUUAACACAUGCAAGUCGAACGGAAAGGCCACAGCUUGCUGUGGUACUCGAGUGGCGAACGGGUGAGUAACACGUGUGUGAUCUGCCCUGUACUUCGGGAUAAGCUUGGGAAACUGGGUCUAAUACCGGAUAGGAAUCACAUGUGGGUGUGUGGUUGGAAAGCUUUUGCGGUAUGGGAUGAGCUCGCGGCCUAUCAGCUUGUUGGUGGGGUAUUGGCCUACCAAGGCGUCGACGGGUAGCCGGCCUGAGAGGGUGGACGGCCUCAUUGGGACUGAGAGACGGCGCAGACGCGUACGGGAGGCAGCGGGGGGGAAUAUUGCACAAUGGGCGCAAGCCUGAUGCAGCGACGCCGCGUGGGGGAUGACGGCCUUCGGGUUAUAAACUCCUGUCGUCAGGGACGAAGCGAAAGUGACGGUACCUGGAUAAGAAGCACCGGCUAACUACGUG
rnacentral:rRNA from 1 species